UACGGAAGGCAGCAGUGGGGAAUAUUGCACAAUGGGCGAAAGCCUGAUGCAGCUAUGCCGCGUGUAUGAAGAAGGCCUUAGGGUUGUAAAGUACUUUCAUCGGGGAGGAAAAAAACAAAACUAAUAAUUUUAUUUCUUGACGUUACCCGAAAAAGAAGCACCGGCUAACUCCGUGCCAGCAGCCGCGGUAAUACGGAGGGUGCUAGCGUUAAUCAGAAUUACUGGGCGUAAAGAGCACGUAGGUGGUUUUUUUAAAGUCAGAUGUGAAAUCCCUGGGCUUUAACCUAGGAACUGCAUUUUGAAACUGAAAUACUAGAGUAUCGUAGAGGGAGGUAGAAUUCUAGGUGUAGCGGUGAAAUGCGUAGAUAUCUGGAGGAAUACCUGUGGCGAAAGCGGCCCCUGGGACAAAGACUGACGCUCAUGUGCGAAAGCGUGGGGAGCAAACAGGGAUUAGAUACC
rnacentral:rRNA from 1 species